rnacentral:rRNA from 1 species
AUUGAACGCUGGCGGCAGGCCUAACACAUGCAAGUCGAGCGGAUGAAGGGAGCUUGCUCCUGGAUUCAGCGACGGACGGGUGAGUAAUGCCUAGGAAUCUGCCUGGUAGUGGGGGAUAACGUCCGGAAACGGGCGCUAAUACCGCAUACGUCCUGAGGGAGAAAGUGGGGGAUCUUCGGACCUCACGCUAUCAGAUGAGCCUAGGCCGGAUUAGCUAGUUGGUGGGGUAAAGGCCUACCAAGGCGACGAUCCGUAACUGGUCUGAGAGGAUGAUCAGUCACACUGGAACUGAGACACGGUCCAGACUCCUACGGGAGGCAGCAGUGGGGAAUAUUGGACAAUGGGCGAAAGCCUGAUCCAGCCAUGCCGCGUGUGUGAAGAAGGUCUUCGGAUUGUAAAGCACUUUAAGUUGGGAGGAAGGGCAGUAAGUUAAUACCUUGCUGUUUUGACGUUACCAACAGAAUAAGCACCGGCUAACUUCGUG